rnacentral:lncRNA from 13 species
AAGUUUGUGAUGGUCAGAUCAAGAAUUCAGUUUCCAGACUCUCAGUCCAGUGCUCUUUCUGCCACUCCCAAUGAUACCGACUUGUCAGUUUCAGGAGGCAAACGUGGCCCACUUCAAGGAAACCAGCCGUUGGCACAUGAUGGCCAUCACAGAGCUCAGGAGCUGACCUUUGGGUGGUUUCUGGUCCACGUGACAAACCCUCCAGAGACUGCCACUGUUUUCAAUUUGGGAGAAUCCUUCCAAUCUCCAGACUCAAUGCUUAUCCAUAAGAAAAACUGAUUUUAAAGAUGAAGAAAUGACAGAAACUUUGGGAGAAGCAGUCUUAGCAGCAGCAAGGAUGCAAACUCUGGCACCGUCCUUGGAUUUAUGGAAGCAAGUGUAACAAAUCAGAUGGAAACCCAGAGCUCUGAAAGUGGAAGCAGAUUUAAGAGACUGGGAGAAUCUGAAUCAUAAUUGUGACAUUUCAUUGUAAAUGAGUCUGAUAAGGAAGAAAGAGGAAAACUACCUGUAGAAAUAUGUAGUUUUUCUGGACACGUCUGUAGUCCCAGCUACUCAGGAGGAUGAGGUGUGAGGUGAAAGAAAUAACAUAGUUGCCCCAGGAGCUCUGGUUGAGUUCAGCUUCUAAAGGUGCAUUUAUGAGACAUGGAAGGAAGACCUACUGCAGGAAGAGUGUCAUAAUUCCCAAAGUACAGAAGAUGCAGUUUUCAAGUAGUGUUGAGAACAAGAAUUCAAAAGGUACUUUUAAAAGGAAGAUCAAAGGAGUCACAGGCCCACUUUUUGAAUGGCUGGUGAAAUGUUAAUGGACAAUGAAAGAAACCAGAACUACUCAAACUCGAAUUUUGUAUCCAUUGUCUCCAUUAAGGGGAAUAUCUUCCACAUAGGGAAGGUGUGGACCAAUGACAAAGACGGAUGGAGGCCCGAGACGGGUGAGGAGCUGGUGGGAGGGCCCGCAACAUAGUCUUUCAAUGAGUUGCGAUUCCCAAAGCAGAUAAUUUGCACCCCACGGUCCACAUGCAAUUGCAGAUAUCAUUAUGGACUCUUAAGUGCUUCAAAAUUAGGGAUGGGCAGAUGCCUCAGUAUUCAAAAUGGUAGAAAAAGCAUAUUCAGGUAUUCAGAGACCAGAAAAUUUGUUUCCAUUCUGAAGCAGAAUGGGCAAGGAGUGGAAUGGAGAGAAGACCAUAGGAGCCGAUAUUCACAAGAGGAUUAGUCCACCUCAGGCCCUUCAGUUUCUGGUGGCAAAGGAACCAGGAGAUGCAAUUCAGAGAUGGCAGCCCGACCUCCAAGGGAGAAGUUGAGGGUGGGAACUACCAGAAGAUGCUGAGUUUACACUGGCCUUUUCUGUGCUGCCCUUUAGAUAGCUUCUACCUCUGUGCUGCCCUUUAGAUAGCUCCUACCUCUGUGCUGCCCUUUAGAUAGCUCCUACCUCUGUGCUGCCCUUUAGAUAGCUCCUACCUCUGUGCUGCCCUUUAGAUAGCUCCUACCUCUUAACCUAUUUUUUUUUUGAAGUCUUCAGAAAUCCUUUAUCAGCCCCUUGAUUUUAUAGACAUGAAAGCUUGGGUGCCCGGAUUGGCAAGGCCUGGCGAGAAGAUGCAACGUGUCCAGGUUUACACAGCUGCUAAUGGCUGAGCUGGGGUUAGAGCCAUGUGAGAUGACUCACCACCUGGGGUUCUCCCUAUUUACUCCGCACCUGUACUGCCUAGCAUGUACUUUUAAUCUUUACUUCUUUGUCUUUCAUCUCCCCAGUAAGACGGCAUUCAUUUUACAUUGAUUGGACAUUUAAUGUGUGCCGGGCACUGUGCUAGAUGCUUUGUGGAUAUAAAGAUGACUAAAAUCGGGUUCUUGGAUUUAGCGAGCUUCUAAUGCCAUAAGGGACUCAAAGCAGACUCAUAGAAUAGGCAGAGUGGAAGGGAGCAUUGGGAGUUCAAGGGUCCAAAAAGACUGUUCCAGGGAAAAUGAGCUUUCCAAAGGCAGGGAGAGUAUCUGAUACAGCUUCGCAUUUUUUCGAGAGCCUUGAACAGCAUGCUAGAAGCCAGAAGAAUGAUCUGAGACCUCAGCAGAGCUUACUGUUUUAGAAUUUAGAGAACUAGUUCAACCUGUUCUUGAUCCCUGCUCUGAAGGAUGCUAGGGACCAAGACAUUUUACUUUCUCCUUCCUCUCCCCAUCUCUCUCUCUCUUUUUUUCUCAUGCCACUCAGUUCUUCUGGGCUCUUCUUCAAAGAUUUAAUGAAGAUUAAAAAUUCACUUUGGAGCCAGGAUGUAUCACAAGCUGGGAAAAGAGGCCAAUGAAUCAUACCAGGAGGCCGUGAGUUUCUAUCCCUCGCACUGGCUCUGAGGCUGGACUGCACCCAAGGCUGCCUGCAGGAAUGGGAGGAAGUUACGGGGUGAAAAGCAUUGCAUCUUGAGGCCUUCUCUCUGAGGCAGCAUGGAAGCAUCCACAGCCCAGUCAGGAAAUGCAGAGAAAGAAACGAAACCGAUGACACAGAUGUUAGGAACACAUUCUUUCCCACUGAGCCUCGCUCCCUGGGGUGCAGGCCUAUGGGGUGGUUUGGAAUAGAGGCAGCUCUCUGGGUGCCUAGACUGGCAAGAACUGAGAUUUGGCCUGAGGCUGCGUCAGGUUCCAGAUUUCACCGGUGAGCUCCAGGAUCCCAUGGGGACGGUGUGCUGUGGGCUCUGCCACUAAGGCCAGGCACUCAUUCAUCGGCACUGGGUAUCUGCAACAGGAGCCUGAUCUGGGUAUCUGCAACAGGAGCCUGAUCUGAAGUAGUGGAGGGGUUGGGAAGAACAGAGCCAUGAGAGCCAUUAGGUUUCAAAAGUCAGCUUUAUUCUCUUAUUAAGUUGACCUCAGUGCACAAAACCAAUUUUCCGAAACUCAGAAGGACUUGGUGUUACUGAUGGGUGUUUGGAAUACAGAACCUCUAAAGCUCUUUUUCAUCUCAGGAAUCUAGAAUUCCAUAAGAAGGACUUUGAGAGAUCCCAUGUAUCCUCUGCUUUUUCUUUGUCAUGAAGUUGUCAUUCUCAUUUACUAGCUGGGUGAUCUUUGGCUCUUAUCUUUUCUAGAUGUUCUGUCUUCAACUGUAAAAUGGGCCUAAUAUUUUUCUACUGCUCUAGGUUGUCUUAAAAACGCCAUGAGAUAAUAUAUGUGAAAGUGCAUGGUUAAAAUUCACAGGGGCUUAACCAACAUAAAAUGUGUUCUCUUCCUUCCUCUCUGUGCUCCCCGUCGUCAGUAACUCAGAAGGACACUGAUGCAGGCAAGCAUGGUAAACCGAAACCAGUCUUAUGCAACAGUGAGGCUGCCAGUGAAAAAGCAUUAGGAAGACCCUCCUUGCCCUACCCCAGACAAAAAUUUUAUCUCCCAAGUCCUGUGAUAACGUCUGUGAUGAUGCCUGAUGUGGGCCAUUAGUCAUUGUUUGUCAAAUGGUCUUAUUAUACAUAUUAGUCAUUAAAACCUUAGUAUGAAAUGAUUUUAGAAUUGGAGCUUCUUAAGGCUGGAGAUCAUUUUGUCCAACUCUCACUCCACAAAAAAUUAUUUUGAUAACUCCCCUGACAGUCAUCCAGACUCUUCCUGAAUGAUUCCAGUGAUUUAGAGCUCACUGUUUUAUGAGGUAGCCCGUUCACUGCGGUACAGCUUAAGUUGAUUAGAUAUCCUUUUUUAAGUUGAAGUAAAUCUCCCUCCUCAAAAUUUUCUGUCUUUGUCCUGAGUUCUGUAAAAUAGAGCAAACAGAGGUUAAUCUGCUGCCGCAUUCAUCUGAUGGCACUUUAAACAAUUAAAAAUAGUAAUCUUCUCUUUUUCAGCCCCUAACACUUGGUUUAUCGACUUUUUUUCUCAUGUAAUAGUUUCUAGAUCUUUCAGAUCCUUUAUAAGCCAAAUCACUCUUCUCUGAGGAUGCCCACAUUUCCCAGCAUUCUCAACAUACGGCAUCUGAACACGACCCAAGGAUGGUUCCGACAGUGUGAAGGAUGGAAGGUUAUAAUGUCUCUUGGUCUGGAUUUAGGCUGAGGGUUUGUGUGUGUUUGUUUUUUAAAUCAGAUUAUAUGAUUGUUUAAUAUUUAGUGUCUAAUAAAUUAAUGCCUCAAGAUAUUUCUAUAGGAAUU